UACGGGGGGGGCAAGCGUUGUUCGGAAUUACUGGGCGUAAAGGGCUCGUAGGUGGCCAACUAAGUCGGACGUGAAAUCCCUCGGCUUAACCGGGGAACUGCGUCUGAUACUGGAUGGCUUGAGUUCGGGAGAGGGAUGCGGAAUUCCAGGUGUAGCGGUGAAAUGCGUAGAUAUCAAGAGGAACACCUGAGGUGAAGACGGGUUGCUGGGCUGACACUGACGCUGAGGCGCGAAAGCGUGGGGAGCAAACAGG
rnacentral:rRNA from 1 species